GGCGAUGAAGGGCGUGCUAAUCUGCGAUAAGCGCCGGUAAGGUGAUAUGAACCGUUAUAACCGGCGAUACCCGAAUGGGGAAACCCAGUGUGAUUCGUCACACUAUCAUUAACUGAAUCCAUAGGUUAAUGAGGCGAACCGGGGGAACUGAAACAUCUAAGUACCCCGAGGAAAAGAAAUCAACCGAGAUUCCCCCAGUAGCGGCGAGCGAACGGGGAGGAGCCCAGAGCCUGAAUCAGCAUGUGUGUUAGUGGAAGCGUCUGGAAAGGCGCGCGAUACAGGGUGACAGCCCCGUACACAAAAGC
rnacentral:rRNA from 1 species